UAUGUUCUUAAAAUAGAAAAAAAAAAAAAAGAUUAUCGGAGAAAAAAAAUAAAAGAAAACAAAAAAGUGAUAAAAAAAAUAAAUUUAGUGUCUCUUACGUGGAAAGUAAAAUAUGAAAAGAAAAAAGAUCCUAUCCGUUCAUUAAUUUUUACCCUUUAUUUCUUUAUAAUAUCAAAAUGAACAGUGAAGAUUUUCAUUCAAUUUCAUAUCUUUCACCCGUAAAUUUUUCCUUCUUUGUUUUCCUCCAAUGCAAGCACAGUGUAAGCAAUUGAUUCAGUAAAAUAUUAUGAACAAAAGAAUGUUUGGCGUCACUUGUGAAUAGUACCCUUUCUAUACUGUAUGAAGCUAUGGUACAAAGCUGAUAUGGAGAGGGGUCCCAAAUUUAACAUGUGGAACGUAAAGGAAAACAAAAGGACAGACAUUAAUGGAAAAAGACAUAAAAGGGAAGGGAAACUAAAACCAGGCUUUUCUUUUCUUUCGGUCACAAUAGCUUCUGCAACUAUAAAAUCCAGGAGCGAGCUCUAUUUGUCCACAUUAGGUAUAUAGCUUAGGACGGUGUAAGAAAAAUGGACGAUAAUAGAGGAGCUAGUGCACGCUUAAGCAUUCCAACAAGUAGGAAUGAUAAGAGGGAACUCUUAAAUGGGCUGCUUUGGAGAGACUGCCUACAUAUUUACGUAUAAGAAGAGGUCUGCUCGCUGAAGAAGCGGGUCAAGCGAAAGAAAUUGAUAUAAAGAGCCUUGGAUUUAUACAGAAAAAGAACAUUUUAGACAAGUUAGUGAAAGUUGCAGAGGAAGAUAACGAGAAUUUCUUGUUGAAGAUCAGGGACCGCAUCGACAGGUAUUUCUUGCAAACAAAUAAAAACUUUCUCCGGGCUUGAUUUAUUUUAUUUUUCUUUUCUUUUCCUUUUCUUUUGUUUUGAAAGCAUUUCCUUACGUUGUUCGUGAACAGUGAGCCUUUUGGAUUAUUAAUACAGAGUUGGACUCGAAACGCCAACAAUUGAAGUUCGGUUCGACCAUUUAAACAUUGAAGCAGAGGCUUAUGCUGGAGGCAGAGAGUUACCUUCAGUCUUCAACUUCUCUGUUAAUAUGUUAGAGGGUUUCUUGAAUUAUUUUCACCUAUAUCCAAGAAGAAAGGAACCAUUACCAAUCCUUCACAAUAUUAGCGGAAUCAUCAAGCCCCAACGUUCUCAGGAAGAGUGACAUACAAUGGGCAAGGAUUGGAAGAAUUUUUAACACAGCAGACCGCAGCUUAUGUCAGUCAAUACGAUCUCCAUAUUGGAGAAAUGACAGUAAGAAAGACUCUCGCUUUCGCUGCAAGAUGUCAGGGGGUUGGACCCCGUUACGGUCAGUAAGAGGCCAUUGACAUGGUUGACAUGGUUAUCUAUCUGCUCAGUAAUUUCAAAAGGAUUUUAAAUUGAAUCAAAAUGCAACUGUGAAUUGCGUCUAAUAUCCAAAACUUGUAAUUCUAAGCAAAAAGUAUAUAUAAGUCUGAGUUUUAUCCAAAACUAUAAUUAAAUUA